ACCACCAACCUCCGGAGCACCGUCACGCUAACGGAGAUCUCAUCUACCUCUCCGUAUCUCUUGCUGGAUCAAGAAGGCCGAGAUCAUCGUCGAGCUGUACGUGUCCUGAAUGCGGAGGUGUCGUCCGUUCGGCACUAGAUCGUGGGACGGAUCGCGGGACAGUUCGCGGGACGGAUCGAGGGACGUGAGGACGUUCCACUACAUCAAACGCGUUUUCUUAACGCUUCUGCUAUGCGAUCUACAAGGGUACGUAGAUCGAAUAUCCCCUCUCGUAGAUGGACAUCACCAUGAUAGGUCUUCGUGCGCGUAGGAAAUUUUUUGUUUCCCAUGCGACGUUCCCCAACAGUGGCAUCAUGAACUAGGUUCAUGUGUAGAUGUCUUCUCGAGUAGAACACAAAACUUUUUGUGGGCGGUGAUGUGUGUUUUUAUGCCCUCCUUAGUCUUUUCUUGAUUCCGCAGUAUUGUUGGAUUGAAGCGGCUUGGACCGACAUUACUCGUACGCUUACGAGAGACUAGUUUGAUCGCUACGAGUAACCCCGUUGCUCAAAGAUGACUGGCAAGUGUCAGUUUCUCCAACUUUAGUUGAAUCGGAUUUGACCGAGGAGGUCCUUGUAUAAGGUUAAAUAGCAAUUCAUAUAUCUCCAUUGUGGUGUUUGCGUAAGUAAGAUGCGAUCCUACUAGAUACCCAUGGUCACCACGUAAAACAUGCAACAACAAAAUUAGAGGACGUCUAACUUGUUUUUGCAGGANNNNNNNNNNNNNNNNNNNNNNNNNNNNNNNNNNNNNNNNNNNNNNNNNNNNNNNNNNNNNNNNNNNNNNNNNNNNNNNNNNNNNNNNNNNNNNNNNNNNGGGAGAGGAUCAACACACAAAGCCUACAAGAUGUACCGAGAGGGAUCAAGUGAUCCCAUGGUAUGGAUUUGUCCAUAGGCACUUCUUGAAGUCCAUCUGUUGGGUUCAAGGAGUUUAUAUGAUGACCAAGAUGGUAUCCAAGGUAUUAUCCAAAGAAUGGUCAUAGAGAGACAUGGUUGAUCAAGAUCUCAGACAAAGAGUAAAUCAAGAUGAUCAACACACAAAGCGUACAAGAUGUACCGAGAGGGAUCAAGUGAUCCCAUGGUAUGGUAAGCAUUGUCCAUUACGUGUUUGUGUACUAACCCAUGAUCUUCGUGAGAGUUCUAUGUGGGGGUUAGGUGUGUUUACAUGGGCUUGCGUCAAAAGGAAGAUCUCAUACAACCCAUGGAGUAUGACGUCAAGUUGUGAUCAUCAUCAAUGGUUGAUCAAGAUCUCAGACAAAGAGUAAACCAAGAUGAUCAACACACAAAGUGUACAAGAUGUACCGAGAGGGAUCAAGUGAUCCCAUGGUAUGGUAAGCAUUGUCCAUUACGUGUUUGUGUACUAACCCAUGGUCUUUGUGAGAGUUCUAUGUGGGGGUUAGGUGUGUUUCCAUGAGCUUGCGUCAAAGGGAAGAUCUCAUACAACCCAUGGAGUAUGACGUCAAGUUGUGAUCGUCAUCAAGAUUGCGACGUGCAAGUUCAAGUGGAUCAGCAUGAAGAUAGCAUGCUUGAAGCUUGCCGUCCAUUAUGGUGGCAAUGGACUUGUGAAGAUAUGCUGAAGAGUGGCUCACCCAUAGUGAGUAUGGGGGAGCAAUCAACUAGUAUUCAUCAAGCCAACACAAUCAAGAAAGGUGGUCCAUCUUGAGGAAGCCAAGAUCAUCAUCGUCUAGCUCAAGAGGAUGAGGUGCAAGGUAUAGGUUUGCCCUUGAUAGGUUUUCUGGUUAGGAUAGAUUGUUGUUCUAUCAAGGGGGGCUCUCAAGUGAGUAGCUUGAUCGUAUCGUUCGUUGAGAGCUCAAACCAUUUGCAUCAUUGCAUCAUACUUCUUGGUUCUUAGUUGGUGUUUCUCUUUGUGAGUUUUAGAGCUUAUGGUCAUCUUCAUUACAAGCUCGAUUUCAUCGAAAACGGAGUCCAUAUGCAUCUACUAUGAUGUUUUCGAUGUUGGAGUUUUUGCCGGUUCUUCAUUCAUAGAGAUCUCACAUCUCUAUAUCUUUGGCAUAUUCAUAACCGCAUGGUCGCUGUUUGGAUAGCCCUUGUCGUCCUGAAUCCAACAAGCUUGGGUUUGCUCGAUUCGGAGCUCGUAUGCGAAAGUUAUGGCUGUUUCAGUGGCGAGCGGUAGUACCGCUGGACCUAGCGGUAGUACCGCUCGACCUAGCGGUAGUACCGCUAGAGUUGGCGGUAGUACCGCUGGCCCUAGCGGUAGUACCGCUGGCUCGCGGUAGUACCGCCCCUGGUCAGCGGUAGUACCGCCCCAGGAGCUUAGUACCGCCUGCCUAGCGGUUGUUCGUGGACGGACCUUUUUGCGAAGACUUUCUUGGCGGUGGUAGUGCCUUUGCACUACCAGGGGCCCAGCGGUAGUACCGCUGGGGCCAGCGGUAGUAUCGCUGGAGUGCCAGCGGUAGUACCGCUAGCUGGCGGUAGUACCGCUGGAGUGACAGCGGUAGUACCGCUGGAGUGCCAGCGGUAGUACCGCUGCAGCCAGCGGUAGUACCGCUGGAGCUCGGGCAGAGAGUGGGGGUAACGGUCUGAUUCUUCCGCCCACUAUAUAAAGGGGGUCUUCUUCCCCCUUGCCUUAUCCAUCUGUUGAGCUCUUGUUCUACCUCCAUUGUUGACAUUCUUAGAGCUUGAUUACUCUCAAUCCCUCCAAUGAUUCUUGCUUUCUCUUGAGGGAAAAGAGAGAGGAGAUCUAGAUCCACAUCUCCACCAAUCACUUUCUCCUCUAUGUGAGGGGAACCCCUUGGAUCUUGAUCUUGGAGUUCUUUGUGAGCUCCUUGUUCUUCCUCUCAUAUUUCUCCAUAGCUUUUGUUGUUGUGGAGGGAUUUGAGUGUGAGGGACUUGACCACUUCGUGUGUUCUUGCCAUUGCAUUAGUUGCAUCGGUUUGAGUUCUCCACGGUAAUACGUGGAAGUGAGAAGUUGAGAAGCUUACUACCUUUGGUACUUAGUACCCUUGAUAUUGUUCUUCGUGGAUGCUUUGGCGUCCUAGAAGCUUGGUGGUGUCUCGGAGCUCAAUCAUUGUGGUGUGAAGCUCCGGGAAGCGUCGGGGUCUCCAAUAAGGUUGUGGAGAUUGCCCCGAGCAAUUUGUACGGGUACCGGUAACCGCCCCCAAGGGUUGCCACGUGUACGGGUUCGGUGACCACCCCCAAGGGUUGCCAUUUGUACGGGUUCGGUGACCGCCCCCAAGGGUUGCCAUUUGUACGGGUUCGGUGACCGCCCUCAAGGGUCCCUUAGUGGAAUCACGGCAUCUUGCAUUGUGCGAGGGCGUGAGGAGAUUACGGUGGCCUUAGUGGCAUCUUGGGGAGCAUUGUGCCUCCACAUCGCUCUAACGGAGAUUAGCAUCCGCAAGGGUGUGAACUUCGGGAUACAUCAUCGUCUCCCCGUGCCUCGGUUAUCUCUUACCCGAACCCUUUACUUAUGCACUUUACUUUGUGAUAGACAUAUUCUUUAUUGUAAUAUAUCUCGCUAUCACUUAGUUGUUUAUCUUGCUUAGCAUAAGUUGUUGGUGCACAUAGGUGAGCCUAGUUGUUGUAGGUUUUGUGCUUGACAUAUUAAACGAUUAGUUUUAUUCCGCAUUUGUUCAAGCCUAAACCUUAACUAUUUUAAAGCGCCUAUUCACCCCCCCCUCUAGGCGACAUCCACGUCCUUUUCACCCGCUCUAGUAAGCCCCCUUCCCUUCCCGCUCCGGUAAGCCCCCCGCCCCCCUCCAAGUGCUGCUGCCCCCCUCCUGGCGCCUAUGCCCUCCUGUCAGGACCUGAGAUGUAUAUGAGUGUAUGAACUAUAGUUGGAAGAUGGGAAGAUCUUUGCAAGUCAUAUGGAUUUCAGGAGGGUAAGGAAAUAACCUUCGAUUUUCGUCCUGAAGAUAAUAUGCCAGGCAACAUCGACAUUUGGGUGGUUGCUGAUAUGCUUCCUGUUUUACCUCCAUGUGAGUUCCUCAACCAUAUUUGUCAAGUAAUUUGCAUUCUAUAUUAAGAAAUAGUUGGUGUUCAUCCAUAUACUAAAUUUGUUAAAUUAUAAUUUACAGCUUAUUUCGUUUCUUCGAGUGAAUUAUGGAAAUUAAUUGACACGACACACUACACGUAUGGAUCACAUCUAACUUGGGAGGAGAAGGAUGUUCUUCUCUACUUUCUUGUUGGUGUCCUGGUUUCUAGGGAUAACUUCCCGUUUAAUUUGGGAAUUGGCCAAAAUUAUACAUUUUACAUGCCACUAGUGCAUAGGUUGAGGCCGGAUGACAUUCGCCGAAAUAUAUUUUUAAGAGUUUCCUAAUAAAGUACGCUCUACUAUUGCAUAAAUGGUGUUGAUUACAUUGCUAACUAGGUUAUUAUUAUAUUCUUCAACAACAACUGCCAAAUGAUGUAGUGCCUCUAUUGAUGCACCCAGAAGGUCAUAUGAAAUUUAAAAGCCCGCUGAGGGAUGAGUUCGAUGCUCCAUACUCGAGUAACCGCAAAUCAAAAUAAAAAAGGCUCCAAAUUGAAACAUGGAGAGAACUAAGGAAGGAUCGCAAGCCACAAGUUGGAGACCGUUGGAUCUCUGUGCUUCAUCAUGGAGACAUAGAUGUUAUUCUGUUUUAUGACAUUAUACCUAGGAGCAAGGACUAGGUCUUAUGAGAGACAAGUUAUUUUGGUUUAUAUUAACUUGACAUGAUCGAUUAGGAUGCAUGCAUAUGAUGACUAUUAUGAUGUUUUUCCGUUUUACAAGAUUUUUUAACUUGGUAUAUGAUUAAGAUGAUGAUGAGUUGUUAGAUGAGUACGUAAGAUGAUGAUGAGUUAUAUGACAUCAUACUUUAUGUGUAUGAUGUGAUGCAUAAAUACUUUAUUAUGAUAUGAUGAAACCACUUUAUAGAGAACGCACAAAUACGUAGGGGGCAUAAAUACGAUGCGAAUUAAAUAUUAAAAGAAGGAAUAUUAGCAGUAGCGCUGGAAUNNNNNNNNNNNNNNNNNNNNNNNNNNNNNNNNNNNNNNNNNNNNNNNNNNNNNNNNNNNNNNNNNNNNNNNNNNNNNNNNNNNNNNNNNNNNNNNNNNNNNNNNNNNNNNNNNNNNNNNNNNNNNNNNNNNNNNNNNNNNNNNNNNNNNNNNNNNNNNNNNNNNNNNNNNNNNNNNNNNNNNNNNNNNNNNNNNNNNNNNNNNNNNNNNNNNNNNNNNNNNNNNNNNNNNNNNNNNNNNNNNNNNNNNNNNNNNNNNNNNNNNNNNNNNNNNNNNNNNNNNNNNNNNNNNNNNNNNNNNNNNNNNNNNNNNNNNNNNNNNNNNNNNNNAUUCCAGCGCUACUGCUAACAUAGAUACCAGUAGCGCCUUCAAUCGAGCGCUACUUCUAACAGGUUAGCUGUAGCGCGUUAGCAGUAGAGUAGGCCCUAGCGCUACAAGUAAGGGUAAAACCAACGCUGCUGGUAGCCUUUCUCCUACUUGUGUUUGCCAACGAGAGUGCCGACAACUCUAGCCGGCAGCAGGGAGUUGGUGGGUGUGCUGAGGGUGGAGAUCACCAGGAGCAGACACAAGGAGACAUUUCCCCGCUAAUACGUCUCCGUCGUAUCUAUAAUUUUUUAUUGUUCCAUGCCAAUAUUAUACAACUUUCACAUAUUUUUGGAAAUAUUUUAUAUGAUUUGUUGGACUAACAUAUUGAUCCAGUGCCAACUGCCAGUUCCUGUUUGUUGCAUGUUUUUUGUUUUGCAGAAUAUCCAUAUUAAACAAAGUCCAAAGGUGAUAAAAAUGUAUGGAGAAUUACUUUGGAAUAUAUAUGAUUUUUGGGAGGUGGAAUCAACGUAAACGGAGGCCCACGGCCUCCACUACCCAACAUGGCGCAACCCAUAUCCCCUCGUGCGGCCUGCCCACUAGUGGCCACACCGUGAGUCAGGUUGGGCUAUUCUUCGGGCGCAAGAAAUAUAAAUUACUAAAAAAAAUCAGCCCGAUCAGUGAUACGGUUCUCUAGGAAUUUAAGAAAUGGUGAAGGGCUAGAAACCAGGAGCGUGAAACAAUAGAGAACAGAGAGGGAGAUCCUCCGCCGCCAUGGAGUCCAUGAACCAGAGGGGGAACUCUCCUUCCAUCUAGGAGGGAGGCCAAGGAAGAAGAAUAAGGAGUGGGGCUCUCUCCCCUCUCUCUGGGUGGUGCCGGAGUGCCGACGGGGCAAGGAGCAUGACGGUGAUCUACAUCAACAAUCUUGCCGCUGUCAACACCAACUCUAUCCCCCUCUAUUCAGUGGUGUGACACCUCUUUUCUCACUUUAACUCUCUACUUGAACAUGGUGCUCAACACUACAUACUAUUUCCCAAUGAUAUAUGGCUAUCCUAUGAUGUUUGAGUAGAUUCGUUUUGUCCUACGGGUUAUUUGUGAUACGAUGUUAUUGAUAUGAGUUGUGUGUUGAAAUAUUGGUGUCCUAAGGUGCCUUCCGUGAGGCACACAUGUGAAGGAUACACGUUGGAGGGUUUGCAACAUGUUCAUGAUUCGCUUAUAUUGGGUGGCGACAGUGAGAGAAACUUACACCCGAGUAAGGGAGUUGUGCGUCUAUGGGAGUAAAGAGGAUUUGAUGUUUAAUGCCAUGGUGGUUUUACCUUAAUGAUUUCUAGUAGUUGCGGAUGCUUGCUAGAGGUCCAAUCAUAAGUGCAUGUGAUCCAAGUACAGAAAGUGUGUUAGCGUAUGCCUAUCCCUCAUUGAACAUGAUAACUAUCUACCAUGUUAUAUUCAAUUGCCUAUGGACAAUAUUUUUCUUGCGUUACACAAAAAGCUUUCUACUAAACAACACCUAACUUUCUGUUUACUUGUUCGUUAUUAUCUUGCAAACCUAUCUAUUACACCUACUAAGUACUUCUAGUUUUAUUCUUGUUUUAGGUAAAGCAAAUGUUAAGUGUGCGUAGAGUUGUAUCGGUGGUCGAUAGAACUUGAGAGAAUAUUUCUUCUACCUUUAGCCCCUCAAUGGGUUCGACACUCUUAUUUAUCAAAAAGGGCUACAAACGAUCCACUAUACUUGUGGAUUAUCAAGACCUUUUUCUGGUGCCGUUGCCGGGGAGCAAUAGCGUGGGGUGAAUAUUCUCGUGUGUGCUUGUUUGCUUUAUCACUAAGUAGUAACCAAUGGUUGAAUAACCACCCAAAAUCUAUCAUACUACUGAAGCUUUUUACUUCGAUCAUCUUCGAUCCCUAUGUGCUCGUGCUGAAACCCCAACUAGUCUAGUUGAGGACAAAUCAUUAGAUGAGCAUGCUUAUUAUGUGCGACACUGCUUAUCUCAAAAAGGGAACUUUUAUGGCAUCAUAUUAAUACUUUUCAUUGCUAUGUUUGGAAUUUAUGUGAAAUAUAUGAUUUUACUUCUUGUUGUGAAGACCCUAAAAAACACCUUCUCUACCAAUGUAAGUUUAGUGAUAAUGGAAUCUUAUCUUCUUAUGCUAAAGGUGUUUAUAUUUAUUAUGAUGGUGAACAAAUUGAAGAAUUUGUUGCUUUUAAGGGUGCUUAUGAAAUUUCUUCUUUGAUUGAAAAGUAUGAUGCUACUCUUUACAAAUCUGAAAUUUUUGCCAUACUUAAAUAUUGAUAUGAAAAAUAUGCUUAUAAUGCUUAAUUAUGUUAAACUAUAUAUUGAGGACACCUCUCUUGUCCAAGAAGAGAUUAAUCUUUUGCAGGAGUCUAUAGAAAAAUAAAUUGAUGAAACUGUGAGCUCAUUAGAUGAAAAAGAUGAUGAGGAGAGUGAAGAACAAAAGGACGAAGAGCGGAUUUGCUAUCCGUGCGCACCUUCUAAUGAGAGUAACUAUUCAACUCAUACAUUGUUUAAUUUCCCUUUGUGCUUACCAAAGGAUGAAUGCUAUGAUAAGUGCUAUGAUCGUGUUGAUUCUUUUGAAAUAUCCCUUUUUGAUGAAAUUGAUGCUUGCUAUGCUUGUCCAAGAGGCCAAUAUGAAUUAUGCUUGUGAAGAUGAACUUGCUAUUGUUCCUUAUAUUAAGCAUGAUUUUUUUGCUAUUACACCCACACACGAUAGUCAUAUUAUCUGUUUGAAUUCUCCCAACUACACCAUAUCGGAGAAGUUUGCACUUAUUAAGGAUUAUAUUGAUGGCUUGCGUUUUACCACUAUACAUGAUGAUUUUGAAGGAUAUAAUAUGCAUGUGCUUGCUACUCCUACUUGUAAAUAUUAUAAGAGAGGAACUACAUCUCCACCUCUUUAUGUUUCGAGCACUAUAAAAUUGCAAGAAACUACUUAUGCUAUGUAUUGGCCUUUACUUGAUGUGCAUGAAUUGUUCUUUUAUAGCAUGCCAAUGCAUAGGAAGACAGUCAAGCUUCGUCAUUGCAUGAUAUAUGUUGAUUUUUCCUCACUACUAAUUACAAAUCGUUGUUAAUUAAAAUUGUCUUUGAUAUACCUUGGGAUCCGGGUGGAUCAAUUAAUUGAGCACUAUAUGCGUAGCUUAAUGGCUUUAAAGAAAGCGCUGCCAGGGAGACAACCUAUAAACUUUAAAGUGUCAUUUAUUUCUGUUGAGUGCUUUUAAAGGUUUAAAAAAAUAUAGAGGGGAACUUAAAACUUUUUCAAAAAGAGAAGCGAUUGGAAGAUUAUGCAUUGGAGAAGUGAGGGUCGACCUUGAACACUUGUGUUCAUGCUCAUGGAAACAAUGUUGAAUUUUUUAUGAAUUUCUCACAAAAAUAAUUAUUCCCUUGUACAAAUCCAUUGUAUUGUAAAAAUAAUGAGCCAAGAUUUUCCUUUAGGAUGAUUAGAUUGCUUGUUGGUAUGUGCGGUCCAAAAACAGAAACUUUGGCUAUAGUGCAUGAAUUUACAUUUUUUACUGGGACGAGUAAAUUUUCGGAAAUUUUUACACAGUAAUGCUGUCCAAUUUUUUUAUUUCUUAAUAUUUUUUCAGAAUUAUUUUAUUUAUAGAAGUAUGGUCAAUGUUCAGAUUACUACUAACUGUCCUGCUUUUGACACAUUCUGUUUUUGAUGCAUUGUUUAGCUCGUUUUGAUGAAACUGUCGAUUGUAUAGGUGGUAUAAGCAAUGGAGAAGUUAUAUUGUAGUAGUUAUAAUGCAAAAAAUUAUUAAUGAGUUUUCAACAGUACUUAAUGUAGUAAUUUGCAUUAUUAUACUAACCGGUCUCAAGAGUUUUCCGUAAACUUUUGUGUGAAUGAAGUGUUCAAAUAUCGAGUAGGUCUCCAUAUGAGGACAAGGCGGAGAGGCAAAGAGUUCAUGCUUGGGAUGCCCAAGGAAGCCCAAGGAAAUAUCCAAGGAGACUCAAGCGUCUAAGUUUGGGGAUGCCCCGAAAGGUAUUCCAUCUUUCUUCAACAAGUACCAAUAUGUUUUCGUCUUCGUUUCGUUCACGUGAUAUGCGUAAAUCUUGGAGCGUCUUUUGUCUUUCGUUUUCACUUUUAUUUUAUGAACCAUGCUGGUAUGAGAUAGUCCAUGGUUAAUUAUAAAAUGCUCAUUGCACUUCAUUUAUAUCUUUUGAGUAUGGCUUUAUAGAAUGCUUCUUGCACUUCACUUAUAUCAUUUGAAGUUUGGAUUGCCAGUUUCUCUACAUAUAGAAAACCGUUAUUUGUAGAAUGCGUUUCUGCUUCACUUAUAUUUAUUAGAGCAUGGUAUUUUGUAGACAGAAUUAAAGUCUCAUGCUUCACUUAUACCUAUUUAGAGAGUCAAAAGGAAUUGAUCAUUUACAUGGUUAGUCAUACAAUCCUACAUAAAACUUGUAGAUAACUUAGUAUGGUAUGUUUGAUUCCCUGCAAUGGUUUUGUACAUUAAGAUAAUAAUAUGUGGGUGCACUAUUUGAUGAUUGUGGAUUAGUAAGAAUAUUGAUGUUUAGGUUUGUGGUUUAUGAAGCAUGCACGUACAGUCCCUGGUUAUGUGAUGAAGUUGGAGCAUAAUUUGUCCUUUUUUUGAAAUCCUCUGUGCUGUUAUAAUCGGAGUCGUGCGAUGGUUCAAUCCUCUCAACCUUCUACCUAGGGGCAUGCGAGUAGUGCUUUGUUUCGAGAGAGCUAAUAAAAUCUUUCAAUGAGUGUAUGUGUUCUUUAUGGCUAAUGUGAGUCCAUGGCUUAUACGCACUCUAACCUUUCAGCAAUUUGCUAGCCUCUACGGUACCGUGCAUUGCUCUUUCUCACUUCGAGAGUCGGUGCAAACUUCGAUGGUGCAUCCAAACCCCGUGAUGUGAUACGCUCACACAUAAGCCUUACUAUAUCUUCCUCAAAACAACCAUCAUACCUACCUAUUAUGGCAUUUUCAUAGCCAUUCCGAGAUAUAUUGCAAUGCAACUUCCAUCGCUUCCGUUUUGAUGACUUGAGCAUUCAUUGUCAUAUUGCUUUCCAUGAUCGUAAGAUAGCUAGCAUGGUAUUUCCAUGACUUGUCCGUUUUUUAUGUCCGUGUUACGCUAGAUCAUUGCACAUCCCGGUACACUAUCAGAGACAUUCAUAUAAAGUCAUACUUUGUUCUAGGUAUCGAUUUGUAAUAUUGAGUUGUAAGUAAAUAUAAGUAUGAUGAUGAGCUAAUUCUAGUAGUUUGAAAAGCAAAAUUAAAGUCAUAAACUCGAUUUGUAAUAUGAGCGGCUAGAGAAUUUGGAACCUGCUCCCCUUUGGAACAUAAGAACAUCUAUAACCGGAUCCCUUAAAUGACUCCUUAUAUAUUCAUAGACGCGUCGGAUGAGUGACCGGACAGGAGAAAGAAAAAAAUUAACCCCAUCAGACCCCUCAUAUUAUUUUUAUAUGCUCGGGCUGUCCGCAAACCCUCAUAUGCAUCUCAAAUAUGGAGAGUAUAUGAGGGCUCGCGGACAGACACGGACACGCCCCGGCCAGUUCGCCACAUAGGACGCGGCCCCACCACGGACCACAUUUUUUUCUUUAUUUAUUCUUUACUUUCUCUCUAUUUCUCUCCAUCAAUCUUUCUUUCUCUUCAUCAAUCACGUGCAAGUGACCUGACAUAUGGGGAAGAAAAUGACGAGUGUGCAUUCACGUACGGACAAAUAAGGGACACGUCCGGUCACUGACCGGACGCGUUCGCAGGUGUUUAAGGGUCUGGAUUUGCAAGUCGUGGCUGAAGAUACUCUGAGAGCAUCUACAACCGGACCCCUCAAAUGACCUCUCAUACGUCCGCGGAUGCGCCCGGGCUAUCCGCCACAUAGGACGCGACCUCAUACCAGACCUCCUUUUUCUUUUCUUCAUUCGUUCUUUUUCUUCCUCUCAUUCUUUUCAGCAAUCAUGUGCAAGUGACCGGAUAUAUGAGGAAAAAAAAGAAAUGUGGUUCUGCAGACGGACAAAUAGAUGACACACCCUGUCACUAGUUAAAACUUUACACGUUUGCAUCGUAAUCUCAGUUGUGUGAUCUUAAGAAAGCAUCAUGCUUUCAAAGCAAAAGCAUCUAAAAGGCCAUGAGACGUGUAGUAAUCUUCGUAUAAUCCGAUGUUCUACGAAAUUCGGAUACGAGGGUAGACCAAAGGACGCGGUCGUGACUAGUUAAACGGCGCUAAAAAGCAGUUUAUCUCCCUUUAUGAUGCAAUCAAGCCUAUCUCAAACUACUUUAACGGGUUUUUGUUGGCUACCAAAGUACCAAAGUGCAUAUGGUUCCAAAAUCAAAACCAAAACUAAACCCCGUUUCACAUUUCAGGCCACGCGCGUUAAAAACCCGCGAAAAUAGCAUUUUCCAGUCAGCCCUCUUUCCCUCAACUCUGACCACAGCCCAACGAACCACCACACCAGCCAUGGCAACCACCCUCGCCACCGACGUCCGUCUCUCCAUCGCACACCAGACCCGCUUCGCCCUCCGCCUCGCUUCCGCCAUCUCCUCCAACCCCGAGCGUGCUGCCGGCAAUGUCGCCUUCUCUCCGCUCUCCCUGCACGUCGCACUCAGUCUCAUCACCGCUGGCGCGGGCGGCGCCACCCGUGACCAGCUCGUCGCCAUACUCGGAGAUGGGGGUGCAGGUGACGCCAAGGAACUGAACGCGCUCGCGGAGCAGGUGGUGCAAUUUGUGCUCGCCAAUGAGUCC
rnacentral:lncRNA from 1 species